GGGUAUAUAGCUCAGUGGUAGAGCAUUCGGCUGCAGAUCGAGAGGUCUCCGCAGAUCGAGAGGUCCUGCGUGUCCCCU